rnacentral:misc_RNA from 1 species
GAUGAAGAACGUAGCGAAAUGCGAUAAGUAAUGUGAAUUGCAGAAUUCAGUGAAUCAUCGAAUCUUUGAACGCACAUUGCGCCCGCCAGUAUUCUGGCGGGCAUGCCUGUUCGAGCGUCAUUUCAACCAUCAAGCCCCAGGCUUGUGUUGGGGACCUGCGGCUGCCGCAGGCCCUGAAAACCAGUGGCGGGCUCGCUGUCACACCGGGCGUAGUAGAUUUUAUCUCGCUCUGGGCGUGCUGCGGGUUCCGGCCGUUAAAACACCCUUUUACCCCAAGGUUGACCUCGGAUCAGGUAGGAAUACCCGCUGAACUUAAGCAUAUCAAUAAGCGGAGGA